AUUAUCAUAUUACCUUCUUAUUGGCCAUGGGCAUUGCCAUCUUUGCGAUGGUGUGAGGGUCAAUUAGCACAUUCCCUCUUUAUUAUAUAGAAUUCGCAUUUUAGAACAUGGAUUAUUAUAUCACAUUUUAGAACAUGGAAUCUUGCCAUAUUUUAUAGUUUAUUGGGAAUAUUUUAAUUUACAAGUUUAUUUCAUAUAUGCAGCUCAGUUUCCCUAUAAAUAAGAAAGAACCUAGAAGUGGAAAUGUUUUUUGAUGUCCUACCCAUUUCAUAAAAUGACGAUUUAGAUAUUGUGUAUUGACUGUUGGCACUGAACUUUAACCUUCAUUGAAAUGUUACAUCAAGCUGAGCUGUACGCUCUUGGCUCUUUCCUCUUCAUAGCUUAAUCCCAGCCAACUGCAUUCACAGCAGUCCCCAUGGAGAAAAAGAUGCCUGUAGAUGUAUGGGAUAUAAAGUGGGUGCUCAGUACAGACAAGGGGGAUUUAGACUUUGGAUCCUGCUGCAUGGUCGAUAGGUCUGCAGAGUUAGACGCCAUGAUGCUGAGCUCAUACACAGGAGCUCAGCAUCUUAGCAGUGGCCAUAAAACCUGAGUACUGAGAUCGGUCACCUACCACUCUGCAAGUAAGCAGUUUUGAUGCAGCAACCUUGGGGAACAAGUCCUUUAUUUUGGAACCCAUGUUUAAUCUUAGGUAUUUUAGGCAGAUGAUAUCUAAACCAGAAGUAGAAUUGU